GACAGAGGUGGCAAGCGUUGUUCGGAAUUACUGGGCGUAAAGGGCGCGUAGGCGGUUCGUCAAGUCCUGUGUGAAAUCCCCCGGCUCAACUGGGGAACUGCACAGGAAACUAGCGGGCUUGAGUUCGGGAGAGGGAAGCGGAAUUCCGGGUGUAGCGGUGAAAUGCGUAGAUAUCCGGAGGAACACCGGUGGCGAAGGCGGCUUCCUGGACCGACACUGACGCUGAGGCGCGAAAGCUAGGGGAGCAAACGGG
rnacentral:rRNA from 1 species